rnacentral:rRNA from 1 species
UACAGAGGGUGCAAGCGUUAUUCGGAAUUAUUGGGCGUAAAGAGCGCGUAGGCGGUCUGAUAAGUCUGGUGUGAAAUCCCUGGACUCAAUUCAGGAAGCGCAUUGGAUACUGUCAGACUCGAGUACAGGAGAGGUGAGCGGAAUUCCCGGUGUAGAGGUGAAAUUCGUAGAUAUCGGGAGGAACAACAGAGGCGAAGGCGGCUCACUGGACUGUAACUGACGCUGAGGCGCGAAAGCGUGGGGAGCAAACAGG